rnacentral:rRNA from 1 species
UACAGAGGAGCCAAGCGUUAUCCGGAAUCACUGGGCGUAAAGCGUCUGUAGGUGGUUUCAAAAGUCCACUGUUAAAGAUUGAAGCUUAACUUCAAAAAUGCCGUGGAAACUUUGAAACUUGAGUAUGAUAGGGGUAGAGGGAAUUUCCAGUGGAGCGGUGAAAUGCGUAGAUAUUGGAAAGACCACCAAUGGCGAAGGCACUCUACUGGGCCAUUACUGACACUGAGAGACGAAAGCUAGGGGAGCAAACAGG